AAUAACGACUCUCGGCAACGGAUAUCUCGGCUCUCGCAUCGAUGAAGAACGUAGCGAAAUGCGAUACUUGGUGUGAAUUGCAGAAUCCCGUGAACCAUCGAGUCUUUGAACGCAAGUUGCGCCCCAAGCCUUUAGGCCGAGGGCACGUCUGCCUGGGUGUCACGC
rnacentral:rRNA from 3 species